UAGCAGCUCUAUUUCAUGAUUUUGAGAUAUAUGCAUGUUUGGGUUGAAUUGGGGGUGAGUUUGGCAUAUUUUCGAAGCUGAAAUUUGAGUUUUCUGGGUUUUUAAACCCAGUGGUCGCGACCAUGGUCGCGACCACGAUAAUGGCAGAUUGCUAUUUUUUUUAAGUUUUUGUUUUUGCCAUAACUUUUGACUCGGGACUCCGUUUGGGACGUUCUUUAUACCGUUGGAAAGCUCUUUUCGAGCUCUAUGUGAUUAUAUGUGAUUUGGAUGCCAAUUUUAUAUUUUUGUGGAAGUGAGAUUUAGGGAUUAACCCUAUUUGUGUAAAUCCCGGUAUUGUGACUAGGAUUACCGGCACCUGGUCAGGAGCACCCGGGGAUUUGGAAUCUCUACUAUUGCGGGACAACAGGAAAGGGUAAGGUCAUAGCUGAUCAGCCAUGAGUUUCUGGAGCAAACGAAGAAUGUACAUGUUCACGCCACUUCAGACCAAGCGGGUUAUGGGUCUAGCAGUGUUGACUUUUGUAUUCUGUUUUGCCGCUUAGGUCGGCUAGUAAGAAAGAGCUUGUAAUAAUUUUGUAAAUAUUUUUGGGAUCCCAACUAUGUUUGAAAAGUUUAAAUAUAUUACAAGUUUAUUUUCAGUCUGUUUAAUAUAAAAGUUUAAAUUCUGCGCUAUUUUUAAUUAGUAAUCCCGGUUAGGGGAUUAGGGUUUCAUAAUCAUUUUUUUUUGGGUAGCGUGCCUAAUUAUUUAGGGCGUUACAAUCUCAACCAAGAAAGUAAUAGUUGAUCGUUGCGUUUCCAUUAUUUGUGCACAUGGUUGGGUUCGUCGGUGAUCAAAGUUGUUGGAAGAGGGAUUCCAGUGAGCAAGAUUUCGUCAAGAUCGUGGCUUAGUACAGUCGAUAAGACCUAAGACUUUUAGGACAAGUAGUUAGUACGAUUUAAUUUGAUCGUUAAAAUAGAGGUAAGGGAAUUAGAAAAAGGGUUCCAGUUGGAGUUCAACUAGGUUGGUGGCUCGACAGUGGCUUGAGUGAGGACUUAACUAGUCGUUGGAGUAGGAUCGACAGAUGUAGACUCCAUGGUUGACGUUAGUCGAUGGUGACUGAUACCAUGUAGAAUUUCAGAGUAUGAAAUCCAAGAAAAAUAAGAAACAAAACAGAGAGACUUUAGAAAAAGAAUUGAGGAGAAAACAAAAGCUACUUUUUUCAUUGAUUAAAUAGCUAUUUAAAUAGAAGAGAAUUAAGCUAUUCAAGAUUAGUUACAACACUAGCUACAUUCGGUUAUGAAAACCGUUAACAAUUAGACUAUGUUUUUAACUAACUCAACUAAUUAUAUUGACAAAAACUAAGAAAGCUUGGGGAUAGCAAGAUGAUUCUCUCCACCUUUUUUUUUUUUGAAAAUAAUGAUUCUCUCCACCUUAAAAUAUGACAACAUUUCUUUUCCUUGUCCUCAUCAUCAAUCAGACUAGUAUCAACAUAAUCUCUCAUCAUCAAAGUAUAUGUGAAUAUUUCAAACUAACUAUAGCAAACCAUCACCUAGAUUUAUAAAUAAAAGAGUGUCAAAAUUAAAUUGAAGAUAAAAGAAAAAUAAACCUAAAUAAUGUCUAUCAUCUUCAUAGCUUUUUUUAAGUGGGAACUUUUUUAAAAUAGAAUAAUACAAUAAAAUGAUAAAAUAUUUUGGAGGGGUGAGUUCUUUCAUAACCACUGUAUUCCUACACAAUUUUAACCAAAUGAUUUGUAAUGAAUGGAUAAAAAAAAAUUCCAUGGUAGGAACAAAAUUAAUGUCUCCAUAAUAGAAUUGUCAUAUAUAUAUAUAUACAUCUAUUUUAUAUAAAGUGUGCCUAUAUAACCGAAUUCUUGGUUUAUGAGAAAUUCGUGGGUGACUUUUUAUUUAUAUUAAAAAUAAAAUAAUUUAUGAGAAAUUUAUGGAUCACUUCUUAUUUAUAUAUAAUAAAAUAAAUCUCAUUAAAUCCAAAAAAAAAUAUAUCAUUAAAUAAAAACAAAAAAAUGACUCAACAUCAAAUUUUCAAUUACACAUCAUAUAAAUUACUCAACAUCAAAUCUUCAACUACACAAUACAUGUAAUUACUCAAACAUCACAUCAUUCAAUUAUAAAAAAAAUGACUUUUUAGGAGGGAAAAUAUGGUUGACUAAUAGAGCUAAAACAAUAUGUUUCCAGUGUGAAAUGACUCAACAUCAAAUCUUCAAUUACACAGCAUGUAAAUUACUCAACAUCAAAUCUUUAACUACACGAUACAUGUAAUUACUUAAACAUCACAUCUUUCAAUUAUAAAAAAAAAAUGACUUUUUAGGAGGGAAAAUAUGGUUGUCUAAUAGAGCUAAAACAAUAUGUUUCCAGUGUGAUGAAAAAUUAAAGCAACAAUUUUGUUAAUAUCAAAGAGUUUGUAAAAUCCGAAAGAGUUUGGGCACAAAGAAAUGAUGUUUCUUUUUCUUACUCUUUUUAGAAUCAAUAUAUGAAUAAUAAUUUGAAUUAAUCUUAUAAUCUUAACUUUU